rnacentral:lncRNA from 1 species
CAGGAGACCAGAUCCAACUCGCAAUCAGCUAUAGUGAAGUUAUGAUAUGAGAAGCACCAACUUGGCACAAGACUUGGGAAAGGCAAUGAGGCAGCAGGCAAGCUUUAAGGGAUGACACUUACCUUGAGGGAGCAAGGACAAGUUGUGACCUUCCCAGUCCUCUCUCCAUUUGCAGAUCAGCAAGCUUCUGUCAGCAAGGAGGGGUGGACAAUGAAACUGGGUUCAGCUUGAUUUGUUUUUUGAGACAGGUAUGGCAAGGGGCUGCCAACAAGACAUGUCUAUGCAAUACACUCAGUCACAAGAGAGAGCUUCUUAAGCCUGACCAUAAUUUAAACUCUGAAAGGUGAGUGAGCCUGUUAAGAGACCUCCACCCUUCUAGUAACCUAUAUCCCUUGAUAUGGGAAGGAUAUCUUAGUUCUCCCUAGCCCCUUGCUUAGGAUUAAGUGAGAGACUUCAGCUUUGGUGUAAAGCUGUCAGCUGCCCUAAUCAAGGACAAUACACAAAAAUUAGACUCCUUAUAAGAAUAAGGGAUUAAAUGGAGGAAGAUCUAGAAGUGGGUGGGAACAAAAGAGCAGAACUGAGCCUGCAUCUGCAGAAAAUGUCCAAAGACAACUGGCAGAGUUCACUCCAUGGGGAAAAGGCAUGUUAGUGUGUAGGUAGAGAAACUGGACAAGGAAGGAUGGCCUUAGCCUUCCAUAAUGGAGAAGUCGGGCAGGGGAUGUCUGCAUGCAAUAGACAACUGAAUUAGAAAGAGCAGAAAUGUAAACCAGCAGUGCUUCCCUAUCUUGGGCCUGGCUAGCUUAAAGGGGCUCUACUGUCAUUGGUCAAAAAACUUUCAUGAGGAGAUCCAAUCACUAAUGCAACAAACUCUAAUGAGUUCUAAGUUGGAGAGAGCUCAGUUCUAAAGCUUGGGGGUAGACAGGUCACUGAGAGAGGAGGAAUGAAGGAGUGGGAUCUGAACAUUGUAAUAAGUCAUCUAGUAGCUCUGAUCACUUUGGACAUUGCUGGGGGAUACAUAACAGCUCACUAUAACAUUACAACACAUACUUAUAUCUGUUUGCUCCUCCAAACUAACAUGACAAUGUGUUUCUGCCAUCUUAGCUUACAGAGACAUGAUCUAGUUCAGCUUAU